rnacentral:rRNA from 1 species
CCUACGGGUGACAGCAGUGGGGGAUAUUGCACAAUGGGGGAAACCCUGAUGCAGCGACGCCGCGUGAGUGAUGACGUAUCUCGGUAUGUAAAGCUCUUUCAGCAGGGAAGAAAAUGACAGUACCUGACCACGAAGCCCCGGCUAACUACGUGCCAGCAGCCGCUGUCUUCCGUAGGGCGCAAGCGUUAUCCGGAUUUACUGGGUGUAAAGGGAGCGUAGACGGUUAUGUAAGUCUGGAGGGAAAGCCCGGGGCCCAACCCCGGUACUGCUGUGGAAACUGUGGAACUGGAGUACAGGAGGGGCAGGCGGAAUGCCUGGUGUAGCGGUGAAAUGCGUAGAUAUCAGGAGGAACACCGGCGGCGAAGGCGGCCUGCUGGACUGAAACUGACGUUGAGGCUCGAAAGCGUGGGGAGCAAACAGGAUUAGAUACCCUUGUAGUC